GUAGAACACUGACAUUCAAGUAUAAAGAAGGUUCUGCAAACACAACAUCCCAGAGAGCAGCCACACCUCCCAGCAAAUUACAGAGCUGUGAACUGAUGGAGAGCUGACACCAAGCACCCUCUGUAAACCAGAGGAAUAUAUUACCCUGACAAGGGCCAGAUCUACAAAUGCAAUGAAUGGACUCUGCCAAGGUAAAUGAAAUGGCACCAGCAUGUACCAACAGAGAAAGUGGCCCUACUCAGCGCUCUCUUUCUACAAUGGUUUGUCAUUCUUUUAGAGGACAUCAGUUUUCAGGAACAGCUCCCUGAUAAAGCAGCAGUAGCAGGUGGCAGCAGAGUACCCACCCACGCAAGCUAUCUUCAGGGACCGGAGAGCCAAGCUAAUUACACUGCAGCUAGGACAGCAGCAGCAGCAGCACAUAGAGGAGUUAGACCGGAUGCAAGAAUGAAUUGUGAGAGUUCUUUUAUUCUCUGUAUCAUAAACAGUGAAGCAUGGCUCUGCUUUGCAAUCAAACAGCAGUGAAAUAGCUGGAAUAUUUGGGUCUUCUAAUGAAUGGUCCAUUAAGAUUGACAGAGGAGACCAUACAUUUCAGAGAAUAUGUUGUAAAUUUCUUGUAGUCUCAGAAAACUGCAUGACGUUUGGUUCACAUUUAUAAGAAUUUUUCACAUACGUACAGAUGAGAGGGGUUUUUUUUAAUAAACAAAGUUGAAAGCAAUCAGGCCACCAGAACGACUGGUGCCCCACUGAGUACUGGC
ensembl:lncRNA